GGUGAUGUAGCUCAGGGGAAUGAGCGUCCGGCUUUAAUACGGAAGGUCGCUGGUUCAAAUCCAGCCGUCACUGCCA
rnacentral:tRNA from 1 species